UUAUGCUUCCAAAUCACUGAUUUUGGAAGUUUGUCUCUUCAUAAGGAUUUACUGAAGAUGAGAGACAAGCAUGCAAGUUCAGAAUCUAUAUUGACUUCUACAGAUGUUGAUUUUAUAACAGACCAUGAACAUGUAUUUGCAGAAUCACACUUCUCAAUAUUUUUUGUCAUGCACAGCUGAUGGUUAUUUACAGCCCUGGUUUUGGAAACAUUCCAGAAUAUAUUUAAGAUAAUCACUAGAUGAAAUGUGCCUCUUUAAGAGGUAAGGAUUGGAUGAUAGAAUAAAAAAGUUUCAUAGUGGUUGGACUCCAAACUGUCUGUUCUUAAAUUCUUGGCCUGUGGAAGCUCUGGCCUAACCAGAGGGGACCUAGUGGCUAUUGGAAUCCACAGGGGCCUUAGUUAAUUGCCUAGGCUCUCUAGGCAAUGUAUGGAGAGAGUUAGGUGCCUAAAGCCUGGUCUGCACUAGAAAAUUAGGUCAGUUUAGCUGUAUCGGUCAGGGAUGUGAAAAAUCCACGGUUUUAAAUCAACCUAAGUCCCCAUGUAGACAGCGCUAGGUCGAUGGGAGAAUUCUUGUGUCAAUCUAGCUACCGCCUGUCAUGGAUGUGGAUUACCUCUGCUGACAGAAGAACCCUUCCCAUUGGCAUAGGUAGUGUCUAUACUGAAGCGUGCAGCUGCAGCAGCGCAUUUGUACUGCUGUGACAUUUUAAGUGUAGACAAGCCCUAAGAAUGGGAUUCACAGAAGCCAGCAUGUUGAGCUUAAAAUAGCCAAUAGAGAAUGCCAAUGAGGGGUUUCGGCCUAAGCACCACCCAAAGAGAUUUAGGCACUUAAAUUGAGGCCAGAGGGAAGCAUGUCCCUCCAUUUGAGAUUCACAGCCAUGACCCAUCUCCAGGAAUUAGGCACCUAAGUUCCUUCUCACAAAUAGGAACAGCUGUUAUCACUCCUCUUAUAACUUUUGGCUCACCUACCCACCGUGUGGGAGACCCAGUUUCAACUCCUCUGCCUGCUGUGGAAAAUGGAUUUGAACCCAGGGUUCUCUCCUUUGGGGUGGGGAAAGAGUACCCUAACCACUGAGCUAUGGGGCAUUCUAGAGCAGGCCUCUCUCCUGUUGAAUCUGUUCCACAGUGUAUAAUUAAACAUGCACUGGGCCAGAAAAAGAGAGAGAGUGGAUUCCAAUACCUAAAUCCCUUUGUGGAUCUGGGCCUUGGGUAUUGCAAUGUCUAACUAUUAGGCACCAAGAAAAAAAUCACUGAACAACGAGAUCCACAAAAUCUGAGUUAGGAACCUAGGCUCCCUAUACAAAGGAGAGAGAGAGGUGCCUUAGACUGCAAGCCACAAAAGCCAACACACUAGGCAAGGAACUGCCUAAGAUAGCCAGUAUGAAAUGUCAAUGCUAGGGGUACAUCAUAAGCCCCCUCCCUAGGAGUUUGGCUUCUAAGUCUGAGCUUCAGGGAGGCACUUAUCUCUGCUUGGGAUCCACAGCUGGGAACUCCUUUCCUGGAGUCAGGCAGUUUAGAAGCCUAAACAAUUUCUUGCAAGAUUGAGUUAGGCACCUGCCUAACUCCACACAAAAUGGGAGGGACAGGGAGUGGAAAAGGCCCACUCUCAGAGCAUCUAGUCCAGUGGUUAGGGUACUCAUUUGGGAGACCCCAAGUUGAAUUCUCCCCUCUGCCUGAUGAAAGGGGAUUUGAAUAGUGAGGCCUCACCCCUCAGGGUCAAGCCCUAACCACUAGAUUCGAGUGGAUCUCACUAUUUCUGACCCAAUUAAUAUUUAAUUAAAUUAGGAUAACUUCAAUGGCAGAAAUUGAGAAAGCCCCACAUCAGAUUAUACCAUAGCCUGGUGGUUGGGCACUCACCUGAGAGGUGGCAGAUAUCUGUUCAAAUCUCUCUCCUUAUCAGGCAGCGGGGAGAAUUGAACCAGCAGUUACCCACAUCCUAACUGCAUACCCUAACCAGUAGGCUACAGGUAACAAGGGAGGCUAUCUUCUGGCCAAUUUUGUAUGGAGUCAGGCAGCAGCUGCCUACACCUCCCACAUCAGGCCCUGUAGAUGAGAUAGGUAGAGGCACGCCUGUCUUCCCCCAGUUUGUGACAUGCAAUGGGGCUUAGGUGGCAGACAGGAAUCUACAUGCCUAGAAUGAAACAGCAGUCCACGUACCCAGAGGGACAAACAUAGGUGCCUGGGGAACUUUUACAGCAGAAACGUAGGCACCAAGUGAGUGGAGGUACCUAGAGGAUUAGGUAGCAGCCAAACAGGGAUAUUGUGGAUUGCCUGGAGUUUAGGCACCUAAGUACUUUUGUGGAUCUAGCUCUUAGGGAAUAGUGUAACAAGUUUAUGGUAUUUGUAUUUGGAAAAGUGUGUUGAGAUUCAGUGUUAAGGUACUGCAAUCUAUUAGUUUAAUAUUUUAUAAGAAAGUGUUGUUCUCUGGUUAAUGUUUAUAUUGCAUUUUUCACUGGGAUACUGGAGCUGAAAAAUAGAUCUAUUUUAAAGAAACCUCUUUCUAUUGGCUUGUAAUUAUUUCCAUUACAUCACUUUUGCUCUCAGUUGAGUUUUAUAGCCAUAUUUCUCCUUCAGACAUGACAUGCAUUUACUAUUAAUGGGAGCUGUGCAAGAAUUGAAGGUCAGUUUGGCCUUUAGGAUUCCACCUAACUGAAAUAGGCUGGGUUAUGGCAGGGGAAAAUAACUAUUAGCAUUGUUUAUUUUAGAGAAUCUUAAUUUCACAAGCUGCCUGCAUUAGUCUUUCAUGGUCCUAUUGACUGGGAACAAUUUUUAAAACAGUGUUUUCAAACUUUUUUGGGCUACUAACUGAAAAUGAGUUAGGACUUUUCCACAUAAAGUCAUCUUUCAGAUUUAAGCUUAGGAUGGCUGGUAAAAAGUGUUCUACAAACAAGUAUGAUUUGAUUUUCCUUGCUCAUCUGGGAUCUCCUGCAUCAUUUCUGGCUCUUGCUUGUUUUGGCAACCAAAAAGCAAUUUGUCAUUUUUGACCAGUUUUUCAGGAGUAGAUAUUCAUAUGUGAUGCAGACCUGCACAGCUUUUAUGUUGAGGGAGAAAUGAAUGUUCCAUGUCCUCUCGCUCUGACUUGAUUUGCCCCAGCAUAUCUUGAACUCCAUCACAUGUAGCAUAAGAGGUAGGAGUUACAGCAGGUCCUGAAACAUUAGUGUAAGCACAUGGUAAGAGAAAAUGCUGCUGGGAAUUUUUGCUCUUUGAUUUAAAUUACAAUCUACCCCACUAUCUUCUUUGUCUAAUAGACUGAUAUUGCAUUUUGACGCAUUAGUUCCUGACUAAGAGCAGGUAGAAAAUACAAAGCCCCCAUUCUGCAAACACUUAAGUGCAUGCUUAAUUUUACUACCAUGAGUGGUCUUGAUGAUAGUUAUCAAUAGGAUUACUCUCAGAAAUAAAGUUAAGAACAUGUAAAAGUUUUUGCAGGAGUGGGCCCGUACAGCUCAACAGUAAUUUAGCCAGAUUUUCCAAAAAAACAAGUUAACCUGCAAGCAUAAGAAUUUCAGUUUUAAACAGUAAUUUUCAGAAAGUUAUAAGCACUUUUUUUUUAAAGUGUUGGCAUAAAAGUGCCUGCAACUAUAGCAUCUCUAGUGAUCUCAAUGGAGUGCCUAAGCAUUUUCAUUCCAUAUGUCAUUAUUUGUUUUGAUAAUUAUUUCAAAGUUUAUUUUAAACAAGGAAAACAUCAAGAAGAGAGAGCUGUGUUUCCAGGAUGUUUCUGGCAGAGUGACAAUGUGCUUUCAUAUAUUGCAAAACACUCAUGUAGUGAGACAAUCUGCAACUACCAAAUAUAGCUAUUUAAACUAUAAAAGAAAAAUAACUCCUAUACAAAUAUAUCCUGUGACCUCAGGGGAAUAGGAUUUAUCGCAAACAGUUCUAGUCUAGACAAAGUGAAACUGAUUGAUUCUAUCCUUGAAGAAUUGUCAACGAGCUAGCUGAGCUAUUCUCUAGUAAAAAUAGGUAGCCUUAGGGCAACAUAAAUGUGUAAUAAAUCACUGAAAGAUGAAGUCUCUAUUUUGUUUGUAUCAUUUAAGUUUUAUUUUAUGAAUAAACAAAGACAAGAUAUGAUUGUAUGUAGCUGUUAGUUUAUAAUUCUAACUCUAGUUAAUAAAACUAACUCUUCUCUUAUGCAGUAUUAAAAUAAUACAUAGUAUUUCAGUACUUGAAAGCAACGAUUUUCUAGCAACUUUUGUCCUUGCAGCAGAAUGGAUCCAGGUAGUCUCAGUUCCUGUCCCCGCAGUUUGAAAAGGCAUUAUGAGCAAUUAAAAUUGGAGUAGCCACCAAAUAUUUUGACAUGAGGACCUGUCACUGACAUCUCCACCAGAUGAUCUAAUCCAUUCAUCGCUACUCACCCAUAGUUACGCCACAAUGGUUCAAUAAUACCCAGGCUUGUGUGGAACUUGAAACAAGGGGACCCUGUAGGGGCUGGAGUCCUCUGGAAAAUCAGCUUGGAGAACAACUAUCUUAAAGUGCAGGUGCUUUCUGAAAAGUGACUGUAAAAUGCCAUCAUGGACAUCCAUCUUUGUCUCUUCGUUUCUAGAAUAAAAAUGCUCAGGUUACAAGUGGAAAAAAAAAUUGCCCCCAAUUGCCUGGUCUGCAGAGGCAAUAUGGGUUCUUUCCUUCUCAUGCAUUAUCACUAGUUUAAUUUUUAAAAAAAGUUCUGGGGGCCAAAUUGAUCUCAGUCAUAACUUUUGAGUUCAGAAACUUCAGUGACAACUCUGCAACCCAUUUGCCUUCAAUGACUUUGCACAGAGGCUAGUGAUUAGAACUUUGUAAUCAGCACUUGAUAAUGCAAAUGACGCUCACUUUUUUUUUUUUAACUGUGUUGACUGCAGAGUUAGAGGAAGAAAAAAAAAGCAGGAAAAUCUACUCUCUUUAUUUGCCCAAUGAUACCUGCUGAUUUUAGUAAGUAAAAUAACUUUUCAGAGCAGAACAGCACCUUAAUAAACACUUGAAAAAAAAUCAUUAGCUGCCUUUUCUACAGUAAAGACCACAUUGAUUAGUAUUCAUAUUUAAGACAGAGGACUCCACCCAUAAAGUAAUUGACAUACUACUUUUACUGCUCACAAGAUAUGAAGAAGUCAAAAGGGUAGGUUCACAUUACAACACAACAAUUGCCAAAUCACCUAGAAUGCAUCACUGUUUUGCAUUACAUUUACUAUUUACAUAAAAGCAUUACCAAACCAAUUUUUAAAGUCAGUUAUUUCUGUACGCUCCUCUUUUCAGUAUAAGGGUCAAUUUGUAUUUCAUCUCUCUUCUCUCCUGUAAUCUUCAGGAGUUCAAAUUACAUCUUUAAAUUAUCUCUGUUUUUACCAGAGUUACUUCCAUUUUUGGUGGAUGUAUGUCAAAUAGACAGGUGGGCUGAAAUAUCUGACUACUGUAAAUGUAUGUGUUGGCAAUAAUUAACUGCUUCAGAUAAGCUUAAUACAGUUGGUGAUUGUUGGCACAAGGUAAAUGGCAAUUGUCAUCUUUUCCCACUACAUCUUGGCUCGGUUUCCUUCUCAUUGUCUGGUCAGUUCUAAGGAACUCAUCUAUUCCCGCCUGAGAUUUGAUCUCUGGAACUGGUUACUCCUGGGGGAAUUCUGCACCACUGCGUGGAUGCACAAUUAAUGAGCCAAGCAUAUAAUUAUUUUUUUUUGUGCAGAAAAAGCUUCUACCAGAAUGUUUCUGCAGUUCCGCCUUUUGCCCACUAGAGGACUCUGGGGUGCUAGAAUAGAGCAGCAACUCCCAGCAGAAAAUAACUUCUGCAGUUCCACCUUUUGCUCAUCAGAGGGUGCUGUGGCGAUAGAACUCAGCAGUCGCUGCCAGCCAGCUAGAGAAGAGAAAGAGCCUGCCUUCUUUGCAGCAGCUGUCAGGCCAGGUCAGGAGACAGGGGCUAUGGGAAGAUAGACAGCGUGGGGCUGCUGCGGGGUCACACAGAGGCUCAUAAGGGCUAGUGGGGGAGAACAGACAGGGGCAGGGGCUGAAUGGGAAUGGAAAUUCAGGGCCACAUGGGUAGGGGGGUGCAGAGCUAUGGGGGGAGGGGAUGGCUGAGUGGGGGCACAGAGACACAUGGGGAAGGGGUGCAGGGCCACAUAGGGACAGGGGAGUGGCUGAGUGGGGACACAGAGACACGUGAGAACAGGGGGAGGGGGUGGCUGAGUGGGGGUGGAGGGACACAUGGGGACAGGGACAUGUGCCUGACUGAAUGGGAGAGGCUAGGGGUCAGCCAGAGGCUGCAUGGGGGAAGCUCCCUAAAAGUCCCUCCCCGCUACUCCAAAAAAUCUGUUCCAUACUUUGCCUACUCAUACCCAACAACCCUCCAAGUUCACACCCAGCAAUUACUUCCCUAUCCCUCAACUCCUCCGUUACUCCUGACUCCCCCAAACCUAUGCAGUGCUUCUAAUGGGUGUAGGAAAUAUGGUUCUGUAUUGAAGUUUAAAUUAUUAUUACUCAGAGUUCUGUAUUAAUAUGCUUAGUAAAUAACCUAUUUGUCAAAAAAAAAAAUUCUGAAUAUGUUUUGUUUUCUGUAUUGUUGCAGACGUACUUGCUGAUAGAUAUUUUGAAAUAAGACAAAAUAAUUGAAACUGGUGUGAUUAUAUUUGUGAUUAAAUUGACAAAUAACAUUUGCAGAAUUUGAAAAUAUUGUGCACAGAAUUUUUAACUUUUUGUUGAAGAAUUCCCCCAGGAGUAAACUGGUAUACAGUACUUAGAAAUUCAAAUAAUUCUUCCGAGGUAUAAAGAUGUCCUUCUGUAUAACUCUGGGAUAAUUGGUCUCAUUGAACUACUGAGUUAAAGAUUUUCAGCUUUUGCUAAAUAGUUUCACAUUAUCAUAGUGCUGUUUCCUAGUCUUGACUCUUUUCUGCUUCCUUUGGCUCAAUCUGUUAGUACAAAUAUAAAAUCUUUUAACCAACGUUCAUGUGAGUAAUAAAGACUCUAGCUAUAUCA